rnacentral:rRNA from 2 species
CGGCGAAAGGGUGAGUAACGCGUAGUUACCCGCCCCAGGGUCUAGAAUAGCCUCGGGAAACUGAGGGUAAUGCUGGAUAAUAUCUCCGGAUCAAAGGUGAGAUUCCGCCCUGGGAGGGGACUGCGUACUACUAGCUUGUUGGUGGGGUAAAGGCCUACCAAGGCGACGAUGGUUAGCGGGCGUGAGAGCGUGGCCCGUCACACUGGGACUGAGACACUGCCCAGACACCUACGGGUGGCUGCAGUCGAGAAUCCUCGGCAAUGGACGAAAGUCUGACCGAGCAAUGCCGCGUGCGGGAUGAAGGCCUUCGGGUUGUAAACCGCGAAAGUAAGGAGGAAGGUCCGCCGAAGAGGCGGAUUUGACCAAUUUACAGUAAGGACGGGCUAAGUUCGUGCCAGCAGCCGCGGUAAGACGAACCGUCCAAACGUUAUUCGGAAUUAUUGGGCUUAAAGGGUGCGUAGGCGGCGCUAUAAGUCAGGUGUGAAAUCCCACGGCUCAACCGUGGAACUGCGCUUGAUACUGUAGUGCUUGAGGGAGACAGAGGUAAGCGGAACUGAUGGUGGAGCGGUGAAAUGCGUUGAUAUCAUCAGGAACACCAGUGGCGAAAGCGGCUUACUGGGUCUCUUCUGACGCUGAGGCACGAAAGCUA